rnacentral:rRNA from 1 species
AGCGAACGCUGGCGGCAGGCCUAACACAUGCAAGUCGAACGAAGUCUUCGGACUUAGUGGCGGACGGGUGAGUAACACGUGGGAACGUGCCUUUAGGUUCGGAAUAACUCAGGGAAACUUGUGCUAAUACCGAAUGUGCCCUUCGGGGGAAAGAUUUAUCGCCCUUAGAGCGGCCCGCGUCUGAUUAGCUAGUUGGUGAGGUAAAGGCUCACCAAGGCUACGAUCAGUAGCUGGUCUGAGAGGAUGACCAGCCACAUUGGGACUGAGACACGGCCCAAACUCCUACGGGAGGCAGCAGUGGGGAAUCUUGCGCAAUGGGCGAAAGCCUGACGCAGCCAUGCCGCGUGGAUGAUGAAGGUCUUAGGAUUGUAAAAUCCUUUCACCGGUGAAGGUAAUGACUGUAGCCGGAGAAGAAGCCCCGGCUAACUUCGUGCCAGCAGCCGCGGUAAGAC